GUUAAGCUUAACAACUAGAACAAUAUAUAACAAUUCAGAACUAUUGCAGUUUCCUGAGAGAGAGCUAUAGUUCUGCAUUCCUGAGCACAUAUCUGAGAGAAGGAAUUGGCUUUCUUUUAUUGUGUAUUUAACUUGUUGUGAUCAAUCAUAACAAGUUAAAUACAUGCACAAAAGCAUUUCCAUCUUAUUUGUCUCUGUCAAGCUGCUGUCCAACAGGACAGGUCUGAUUUCCACUGUAACUUUCAUAUGGGUUUUUGUUAAUCCUCUUCUGAUGACUACAACUCUUUAUUCUUACAUAGUUGCCAUUCCAACCAAAAGCCAUCAAAAUAAGGAACUGCCAGCAUUUAUUUGUUUCAAAACAGAACCUUAGUAUUUUUCUCCCACACUGAAACAAGAAGUUUUCUACAAAGAAGUUCCUCAUCUACAG
rnacentral:lncRNA from 1 species